rnacentral:rRNA from 1 species
UACGUAGGUGGCAAGCGUUAUCCGGAUUUACUGGGUGUAAAGGGCGUGUAGGCGGGGACGCAAGUCAGAUGUGAAAACCACGGGCUCAACCUGUGGCCUGCAUUUGAAACUGUGUUUCUUGAGUACUGGAGAGGCAGACGGAAUUCCUAGUGUAGCGGUGAAAUGCGUAGAUAUUAGGAGGAACACCAGUGGCGAAGGCGGAUUGCUGGACAGUAACUGACGCUGAGGCGCGAAAGCGUGGGGAGCAAACAGG